UUGCCUUGGCCCUGAGAGGUAAAUUACACAUAGCAACUAUAAAUGAUAGAUUAUGGAUCAUAAAAACAUUAAAAUGUACUGUCAAACCAGUUUGUAUGAAGAACUUGAAAUGAUUUAGUUUAUGUAUAGGAUUAUCCCCUUCCGAAGAAACUAAGGGCGAAAUUCAGGAAACAACCGAACAAAAUGAUGUUUAUCUGAGAUUUUUUUUUUUUUAGCUUUCUGGUGGGUGGCGUCCAUUAAUGUUUCAAUAGCUCUUGCUCUCAGGAAUGACAAAGAAUGAAUAGCCUUGAGCAAGGCCAUGUGUUCCUAGGGUUCUUGAUUUUCUUUCCUCGCAAACCCCAGGGAUUAAUGUGGCCAGUUGGUGUUGAGGCCCUCCAUAUUUUAAGCUUCUGCAGAUUGGCUCAGCUGGUCCGUUUUUGUUUAACACGCUUUUCCUUAAUGCAGAUAAGACCCAGUUAUGUGGGUGGUCUUGUCGAGCUUGUACGGAAGGAGAGAAAUGACCCAAGAAUAGACUGGGGAAAUUAAAGAUGACGCACCCCCACAUCCUCGCAAACCAAACCGGGCUAUUUAUGUUCGGUUAGCGAGGGACAAGCAUGGCGAUACUCUGUUGACAUUGGCUGGCUAUGGUGCAUAAUCUCCUGUCGCAAGGUACAAGCAAGAAGAGCGAGGUCUCCGGAACGAGCAUUAGCAUGAUUUGCAGAAUGUGGAUUUUACUGGGCUGUGGCUGAGGUAAAGAUAAACAGCAGAUCAGCAAAUUGAAAUGCAAUCUUGCUCUGACAGCAAGGAAGACAACAAGCAACAAGUUAUUCGCCGUCUCAAUCCAGUAUGAGCGACGGACCACUCGCCUUUUGUUGUAUGCUAGCCCUUUAUUCAAGUCCUGGACGUUUUGGAUUCUGGGGUCAUUAAUUUCAUAAAAAACCAAAGUUGUCGUUAAAAAGAAUCACUCCUUGCUUUUGUGGAUGUUGAAUUUGGGUGGCUGGA